UUUUACUAACCGCUCAAUAUC
rnacentral:piRNA from 1 species